AUUGAACGCUGGCGGCAGGCCUCACACCUGCAAGUCGAGCGCGCGGCGGACGGGUGAGUAAUGUAUGGGGACUGCCCGAUAGAGGGGGAUAACUACUGGAAACGGUAGCUAAUACCGCAUACUAUCGGAUAACCCAUAUGGGAUUAGCUAGUUGGUGAGGUAAUGGCUCACCAAGGCGACGAUCCCUAGAUGGUCUGAGAGGCUGAUCAGCCACACGGGUAAUGAGACACGACCCAGACUCCUACGGAGGCAGCAGUGGGGCAUAUUGAACAAUAGGCGCAAGCGUGAUGCAACCAUGACGCGUGUAUGAAGGAGGCCAUAGGGAUGUAAAGUACUUUCAGUCGGGAGGCGUUACCGACAGAAGAAGCACCGGCUAGCUCCGUGCCAGCAGCCGCGGUAAUAC
rnacentral:rRNA from 1 species